rnacentral:rRNA from 1 species
AUUGAACGCUGGCGGCAGGCCUAACACAUGCAAGUCGAACGGUAACAGGAAACAGCUUGCUGUUUCGCUGACGAGUGGCGGACGGGUGAGUAAUGUCUGGGAAACUGCCUGAUGGAGGGGGAUAACUACUGGAAACGGUAGCUAAUACCGCAUAACGUCGCAAGACCAAAGAGGGGGACCUUCGGGCCUCUUGCCAUCGGAUGUGCCCAGAUGGGAUUUAGCUAGUAGGUGGGGUAACGGCUCACCUAGGCGACGAUCCCUAGCUGGUCUGAGAGGAUGACCAGCCACACUGGAACGGAGACACGGUCCAGACUCCGACGGGAGGCAGCAGUGGGGAAUAUUGCACAAUGGGCGCGAGCCUGAUGCAGCCAUGCCGCGUGUAUGAAGAAGGCCUUCGGGUUGUAAAGUACUUUCAGCGGGGAGGAAGGGAGUAAAGUUAAUACCUUUGCUCAUUGACGUUACCCGCAGAAGAAGCACCGGCUAACUCCGUGCCAGCCGCCGCGGUAA